rnacentral:rRNA from 1 species
UACGAAGGGGGCUAGCGUUGCUCGGAAUUACUGGGCGUAAAGCGCACGUAGGCGGAUCUUUAAGUCAGGGGUGAAAUCCUGGAGCUCAACUCCAGAACUGCCUUUGAUACUGAGGACCUUGAGUUCGGGAGAGGUGAGUGGAACUGCGAGUGUAGAGGUGAAAUUCGUAGAUAUUCGCAAGAACACCAGUGGCGAAGGCGGCUCACUGGCCCGGUACUGACGCUGAGGCGCGAAAGCGUGGGGAGCGAACAGG